rnacentral:rRNA from 1 species
AUUGAACGCUGGCGGCAUGCCUUACACAUGCAAGUCGAACGGCAGCACGGGUGCUUGCACCUGGUGGCGAGUGGCGAACGGGUGAGUAAUACAUCGGAACAUGUCCUGUAGUGGGGGAUAGCCCGGCGAAAGCCGGAUUAAUACCGCAUACGAUCUACGGAUGACAGCGGGGGACCUUCGGGCCUCGCGCUAUAGGGUUGGCCGAUGGCUGAUUAGCUAGUUGGUGGGGUAAAGGCCUACCAAGGCGACGAUCAGUAGCUGGUCUGAGAGGACGACCAGCAACACGGGGAGGGAGACACGGCCCAGACUCCGACGGGAGGCAGCGGUGGGGAAUUUUGGAAAAUGGGGGAAAGCUUGACCCAGCAAUGCCGGGUGUGUGAAGAAGGCCUUGGGGUUGUAAAGCUUUUUUGCGGGAAAAAAACUCCGGGGCCCAAAAACGGGGGGGGAAUGAGGGUACGGGAAAAAAAAGCACCGGCUAACUACGGG